UGUAGUUCAGUGGUAGAACACUUGCUUGGCAUGCAGAAGUCCCUGGGUUCAAUUCCUAGCA
rnacentral:tRNA from 1 species